AGACCGUCAAUGAAACCAUUGGCACCCAUGUAAGCCCUGGCUUCAUCGUUAUCUUUAAGGAGGAGUCUGAUCUGCUCAACUGCAUCAUGUUGCUCCUUGCCAUUCUUUCCAUUAUAAAGAACGUACAGCAAUUUUUCAUAUCUCACAAACAAAUCAUCCUCUUCAAAAUCUUCAGAAUUCACCACAAUUUCUUCACUUUUUUUGUCAAUAGGAACAACCCUUGAGUCCAUGGAUUUUGAGUCUAAUAGUAUUAUCUCUUGCUCCGACCCCAAGGCCAGUCUCCAGUAGUUGAGGUCAAGGGAGC
rnacentral:lncRNA from 1 species